GAGGGUAUAGCCCAGUGGUAAAGUGUAUGCUUAGCAUGCACAAGGUCCUGGGUUCAGUCCCCAGUACUUUCA
rnacentral:tRNA from 1 species